rnacentral:rRNA from 1 species
UAUAAGAUCCCUCAAAGAUGAUUAGGUUAAUAGGUUCGAGGUGGAAGCAUGGUGACAUGUGGAGCUGACGAAUACUAAUCGAUCGAAGACUUAAUCAA